rnacentral:rRNA from 1 species
AGAGUUUGAUCAUGGCUCAGGAUGAACGCUGGCGGCGUGCUUAACACAUGCAAGUCGAACGAGGUCCAUGGAGCUUGCUCCGGAAGAUCUAGUGGCGAACGGGUGCGUAACACGUGAGAAACCUGCCCCGAUCUCUGGGAUAACAGUUGGAAACGACUGCUAAUACCGGAUGCCGUCACACCGCUUCAUGGCGGAGUGCCGAAAGAUUUAUCGGAUUGGGAGGGUCUCGCGGCCUAUCAGCUAGUUGGAGAGGUAACGGCUCACCAAGGCAUCGACGGGUAGCUGGUCUGAGAGGAUGAUCAGCCACACUGGGACUGAGACACGGCCCAGACUCCUACGGGAGGCAGCAGUGGGGAAUCUUGCACAAUGGGCGAAAGCCUGAUGCAGCAACGCCGCGUGCGGGACGAAGGCCCUAGGGUUGUAAACCGCUUUCAGUAGGGAAGAAAAUGACGGUACCUACAGAAGAAGGUGCGGCCAACUACGUGCCAGCAGCCGCGGUGACACGUAGGCACCAAGCGUUAUCCGGAUUUAUUGGGCGUAAAGAGCUCGUAGGCGGUUUGGUAAGUCGGGUGUGAAAACUCUGGGCUCAACCCAGAGAGGCCACCCGAUACUGCUAUGACUAGAGUACGGUAGGGGAGCGGGGAAUUCAUGGUGUAGCGGUGAAAUGCGCAGAUAUCAUGAGGAACACCAGCGGCGAAGGCGCCGCUCUGGGCCGUAACUGACGCUGAGGAGCGAAAGCAUGGGUAGCAAACAGGAUUAGAUACCCUGGUAGUCCAUGCCGUAAACGUUGGGCACUAGGUGUGGGUCUCAACCAACGAGAUCCGCGCCGUCGCUAACGCAUUAAGUGCCCCGCCUGGGGAGUACGGUCGCAAGACUAAAACUCAAAGGAAUUGACGG